GGGUGCGCAGGUGGGUUGGCAAGUUUGAUGUGAAAGCCCCGGGCUUAACCCGGGAAUGGCAUUGAAUACUGCUGAUCUGGAGGAUCGGAGGGGGGACUGGAAUUCUUGGUGUAGCAGUGAAAUGCGUAGAUAUCAAGAGGAACACCAGUGGCGAAGGCGAGUCCCUGGACGAUACCUGACACUGAGGCACGAAAGCCAAGGGAGCAAACAGGAUUAGAUACCCUGGUAGUCUUGGCUGUAAACGGUGCGCAUUUGCUGUAAACGGAAUCGACCCCGUUUGUGGCGAAGCUAACGCGAUAAAUGCGCCGCCUGGGAAGUACGGUCGCAAGAUUAAAACUCAAAGAAAUUGACGGGGGCCUGCACAAGCGGUGGAGUAUGUGGCUUAAUUCGACGCAACGCGAAGAACCUUACCUGGCCUUGACAUGCAUUUGGUAGAACCAUGAAAGUGGGACGACCCCGCAAGGGGAGGAUGCACAGGUGCUGCAUGGCUGUCGUCAGCUCGUGUCGUGAGAUGUUGGGUUAAGUCCCGCAACGAGCGCAGCCCUUGUGUCCUGUUGCCACUCCCUCGAGAGAGGGAAGCACUCUGGACAGACUGCCUCGCUUAAACGAGGAGGAAGGUGGGGAUGACGUCAAGUCAGUAUGGCCCUUACGGCCAGGGCUGCACACGUACUACAAUGCGCGGCACAGAGGGAAGCUAGACCGUCAGGUGGAGCAAAUCCCAAAAAACCGCGCCCAGUUCAGAUUGCCGUCUGCAACUCGACGGCAUGAA
rnacentral:rRNA from 1 species